UCAGGAUGAACGCUAGCUACUAGGCUUAACACAUGCAAGUCGAGGGGUAGGCAGGUAGCAAUACCGCUGACGACCGGCGCACGGGUGAGUAACACGUAUCCAACCUUCCCAUAACUCAGGGAUAGCUUUCGAAAGAAAGAUUAAUACCUGAUAGUACUUUUUCAAGGCAUCUUGAGAAAGUUAAAGAUUUAUUGGUUAUGGAUGGGGAUGCGUUCCAUUAGAUAGUUGGUGAGGUAACGGCUCACCAAGUCUUCGAUGGAUAGGGGUUCUGAGAGGAAGGUCCCCCACAUUGGUACUGAGACACGGACCAAACUCCUACGGGAGGCAGCAGUGAGGAAUAUUGGUCAAUGGGCGAGAGCCUGAACCAGCCAAGUAGCGUGAAGGAAUGAAGGUCCUAUGGAUUGUAAACUUCUUUUAUAGUAGAAUAAAGUGAUCCACGUGUGGAUUUUUGUAUGUAUACUAUGAAUAAGGAUCGGCUAACUCCGUGCCAGCCGCCGC
rnacentral:rRNA from 1 species